UUUUAAUAAAAAAAAUUCAACCGACUUCCAACUCAAAAAAUAACUUUAACUAAAAAGCAAAAAAUAACAUCCUACCUAUGUGCUACCUUCUGAUCAGUUUGAAGGCGGUGCCAAGCCAGUGAUGUUUUAAUUAAAUACGUUUAAACUACAAAACUUCUGUGGUUAUUCCAGAAACAGCUUUAAUUAAAACACGACACUGGCUUGGCACCGCCUUCAAACUGAUCAGAAGGUAGCACAUAGGUAGGAUGUUAUUUUUUGCUUUUUAGUUAAAGUUAUUUUUUGAGUUGGAAGUCGGUUGAAUUUUUUUUAUUAAAAUUUUUAUUUUUUUAUUUUUAGUGUUAGCAUACCCACUGCGUGUCACUACCUAUCUAAGUGGAAAGUUCUUAUCAAUACAAAAUUAUCAAGUCCAAACACAAGGUAGCUACUGUGAGCCGUCGAGGAGUUCUCUUCAGUGUGCUUCGUCUUCAUCACCAGACCCUUAAUACAGUCGCAAUCCAUCUAGGUGGAAAGUUCUCAUCAAUACAAAUUUAUCAAGUCCAAACACAAGGUAGCUACUGUGAACCGUCGAGGAGUUCUCUUCACUGUCCCUCGUCUUCAUCAUCAGACCCUUAAUACAGUCACAAUCCACCUAGGUGGUAAGUUCUCAUCAAUACAAAUUUAUCAAGUCCAAACACAAGGUAGCUACUGUGAACCGUCGAGGAGUUCUCUUCACUGUCCCUCGUCUUCAUCAUCAGACCCUUAAUACAGUCACAAUCCACCUAGGUGGUAAGUUCUCAUCAAUACAAAUUUAUCAAGUCCAAACACAAGGUAGCUACUGUGAACCGUCGAGGAGUUCUCUUCACUGUCCCUCGUCUUCAUCACCAGACCCUUAAUACAGUCACAACCCAUAUAGGUGGAAAGUACUCAUCAAUACAAAUUAAUCAAGCCCAAACAAAAGGUGACUGCUGUAAAUCCUUGACGAGUUCCAUCGUCUGUGUUUCGGCUCCAUCAUCAGACCAACUCCAAACCUUCAUAAAGUUGUAGUGGUUUAAAAUACCUUAUGGAAACACUAACAAACGUACUAGCCGUCUCUACAACUUUCGAAAGUUCCCCUCAAUUUCUCCAGGAUGCCAUCAUCAGAUCCUGACAUGAAAAAAAUGGGACCACCCUGGAAGUAAACCCUACAAAACAAAAAAAGAAUUUUCAAAAUCGGUCCACAAU